AUUUUUUUUUUUUUUUUUUAAUUUUUUAAAUGUUUUUUUUUUUAUUUUAUUUACAAAUUGUUGUUUUUAAGCGCUUGUCUUAAAUAUAUCACUUGUUGAUAGAAAUAAUGACGGCUAGACCAGAGGAUAUUGCUCUGCAGAUUAUCAUGAUUUUGAAGUUAUUAUAUUAUCUAACAUAAAAAACCUAUUAAUGUGUAGAGUAUAAUCCUUAUUAUUCUUUUUUACCCUGACAUGCCCUGGUGUCAUUCUGCUUUUUUUAUAUAUAUC
rnacentral:lncRNA from 1 species